rnacentral:rRNA from 1 species
UACAGAGGUCUCGAGCGUUGUUCGGAUUCAUUGGGCGUAAAGGGCGCGUAGGCGGCGGGGUAAGUCUGGUGUGAAAUCUCGGAGCUCAACUCCGAAAUUGCACUGGAUACUGCUCUGCUAGAGGGCUGGAGAGGAGAUCGGAAUUCACGGUGUAGCAGUGAAAUGCGUAGAUAUCGUGAGGAAGACCAGUGGCGAAGGCGGGUCUCUGGACAGUUCCUGACGCUGAGGCGCGAAGGCCAGGGGAGCAAACGGG